UCUAAUGAGACUGCCUUCGUAAGGAGGAGGAAGGUGUGGACGACGUCAAGUCAUCAUGGCCCUUAUGUCCGGGGCGACACACGUGCUACAAUGGCAUAUACAAUGAGAAGCAAUAUCGCGAGAUGGAGCAAAUCUAUAAAAUAUGUCCCAGUUCGGAUUGGAGUCUGCAACUCGACUCCAUGAAGCCGGAAUCGCUAGUAAUCGUAGAUCAGCCAUGCUACGGUGAAUACGUUCCCGGGUCUUGUACUCACCGCCCGUCACACCAUGGGAGUUGAUUUCACUCGAAGCCGGAAUACUAAGUUAGUUACCGUCCACAGUGGAAUCAGCGACUGGGGUGAAGUCGUAACAAGGUAACCGUAGGAGAACCUGCGGUUGGAUCACCUCCUUUCUAGA
rnacentral:rRNA from 1 species